GCCUUCGUGGUGUAAUGGUCAAGCACAUUCGACGCGUAUUCGAGAGGUCCGUGGUUCGAGUCCCGGUGAGGACA
rfam:Stegodyphus mimosarum contig37498, whole genome shotgun sequence.